AGGGGGCGAGCGUUGUUCGGAAUUACUGGGCGUAAAGGGCGCGUAGGCGGUAUUGGAAGUCAUGGGUGAAAGUCCUCGGCUCAACCGAGGGAUUGUCUGUGAAACCACGGUACUGGAGUGCUGGAGAGGGAAGUGGAAUUCCCAGUGUAGCGGUGAAAUGCGUAGAUAUUGGAAGGAACAUCGGUGGCGAAGGCGGCUUCCUGGACAGACACUGACGCCGAGGCGCGAAAGCCAGGGGAGCGAACGGGAUUAGAUGCCCCGGUAGUCCUGGCUGUAAACGAUGAACACUUGGUGUGGGGGGUGAUGAAAGUCCCUCUGUGCCGGAGAGAACUCAUUAAGUGUUCCGCCUGGGGAGUACGGCCGCAAGGCUGAAACUCAAAGGAAUUGACGGGGGCCCGCACAAGCGGUGGAGCAUGUGGUUUAAUUCGACGCAACGCGAAGAACCUUACCGGGGUUUGAACUGCACCUGAACGAUCUAGGGAUGGAGAGGUUCCUUUCGGGGACAGGUGUAGAGGUGCUGCAUGGCUGUCGUCAGCUCGCGUCGUGAGAUGUUGGGUUAAGUCCCGCAACGAGCGCAACCCUUGUCUGUAGUUGCCAUCAGGUGAAGCUGGGCACUCUACGGAGACUGUCGGCGAGAAGCCGGAGGAAGGUGGGGAUGACGUCAAGUCCUCAUGGCCUUUAUGUCCCGGGCUACACACGUGCUACAAUGGGCGGUACAGAGGGCAGCGACCCUGUGAAGGCAAGCGAAUCCCAGAAAACCGCUCUCAGUUCGGAUUGCAGUCUGCAACUCGACUGCAUGAAGUUGGAAUCGCUAGUAAUCGCGGAUCAGAACGCCGCGGUGAAUACGUUCCCGGGCCUUGUACACACCGCCCGUCACAUCACGAAAGUGGGCUGUACUAGAGC
rnacentral:rRNA from 1 species